rnacentral:rRNA from 1 species
CAAUAGCGUAUAUUUAAGUUGUUGCAGUUAAAAAGCUCGUAGUUGGAUUUCGGAUGGGACUUGCCGGUCCGUCGUUUCGAUGUGCACUGGCCAGUCCUAUCUUGUUGUCGGGGACUAGCUCCUGGGCUUCACUGUCCGGGACUAGGAGCUGACGAGGUUACUUUGAGUAAAUUAGAGUGUUCAAAGCAAGCCUACGCUCUGAAUACAUUAGCAUGGAAUAACACGAUAGGACUCUGGCUUAUCUUGUUGGUCUGUGAGACCAGAGUAAUGAUUAAGAGGGACAGUCGGGGGCAUUCGUAUUUCAUUGUCAGAGGUGAAAUUCUUGGAUUUAUGAAAGACGAACUUCUGCGAAAGCAUUUGUCAAGGAUGUUUUCACUAA